UACAGAGGGGGCAAGCGUUGUUCGGAAUUACUGGGCGUAAAGGGCGCGUAGGUGGCCUUCUAAGUUGAACGUGAAAUCCCUGGGCUCAACCCAGGAACUGCGUCCAAGACUGGGAGGCUUGAAUCCGGGAGAGGGAUGCGGAAUUCCAGGUGUAGCGGUGAAAUGCGUAGAUAUCUGGAGGAACACCGGUGGCGAAGGCGGAUCUCUGGGCCUGUCCUGACGCUCAGGCGCGAAAGCUAGGGGAGCAAACAGG
rnacentral:rRNA from 1 species